rnacentral:rRNA from 1 species
UGAGGAAUAUUGCUCAAUGGGCGAAAGCCUGAAGCAGCAACGCCGCGUGCGCGAUGAAGGUCUUCGGAUCGUAAAGCGCUUUUGAGAGGGACGAGAUAGGACGGUACCUCUUGAAUAAGUCACGGCUAACUACGUGCCAGCAGCCGCGGUAAAACGUAGGUGGCAAGCGUUAUCCGGAUUCACUGGGCGUAAAGCGCGUGCAGGUGGCUUCGUAAGUUGGACGUUAAAUCUUUCGGCCUAACCGGGAGGUGUCGUUCAAUACUGCGGGGCUUGAGGGUAGAAGAGGGGGGUGGAAUUGCCGGUGUAGUGGUGAAAUGCGUAGAUAUCGGCAGGAACACCUGGGGCGAAAGCGGCCCCCUGGUCUGCUCCUGACACUCAGACGCGAAAGCUAGGGGAGUGAACG